rnacentral:SRP_RNA from 1 species
GCUGGGUGCGGUGGCGUGCAUCUGUAAUCUAGCUACUUGGAGGCUGAUCUCUCGAAUGGAUUGAGUUCGGGACCACUGCAGGGCAGUCUCCUAUGUCGGGCAAGCGUCCAAUCUAAGCUCAAUGUCAACAUGGUUAUCAUGUAGUAAUGCAAGAUACACCAGGUUCGAUAAUGAAGAACGCAUUGGCCCAGGGCGGAAACGCAGUAGGCAAAAGUUCUCACAAUGAGCAGUAGUGGGAUAUCGCUUGGGAGUGACGUUGUGCUGUAACUUAAACAAUACAGUCGAACGAAGAUCUUU